UACGGAGGGUGCGAGCGUUAUCCGGAUUCACUGGGUUUAAAGGGUGCGUAGGUGGGUCUGUAAGUCAGUGGUGAAAUCUCCGGGCUUAACCGGAACCUAGCCAUUGAUACUAUAGAUCUUGAAUAUCCUGGAGGUGAGCGGAAUAUGUCAUGUAGCGGUGAAAUGCUUAGAUAUGAACAUAGAACACCAAUUGCGAAGGCAGCU
rnacentral:rRNA from 1 species